rnacentral:rRNA from 1 species
UACGGGGGGAGCAAGCGUUGUUCGGAUUUACUGGGCGUAAAGGGCGCGUAGGCGGCACCGCAAGUCGACUGUGAAAUCUCCGGGCUUAACCCGGAAAGGUCAGCCGAUACUGCGGGGCUAGAGUGCAGAAGGGGCAACUGGAAUUCUCGGUGUAGCGGUGAAAUGCGUAGAUAUCGAGAGGAACACCUGCGGCGAAGGCGACUACCUGGCCUGUUCUUGACGCUGAGGCGCGAAAGCUAGGGGAGCAAACGGG